GUUUCUCUUAGCUCAGUUGGUAGAGCGUCAGACUUCUAAUCUGAAGGCUGCCGAUUCGAGUCGGACAGAGAACC
rnacentral:tRNA from 1 species